rnacentral:rRNA from 1 species
CAAUAGCGUAUAUUUAAGUUGCUGCAGUUAAAAAGCUCGUAGUUGGAUUUCGGGUGGGAAUGGCCGGUCCGCCGUUUCGGUGUGCACUUGCUACGCCCACCUUGCUGCCGGGGACGUGCUCUUGAGUUCACGCUCGGGACACGGAGUCGGCGAGGUUACUUUGAGUAAAUUAGAGUGUUCAAAGCAGGCCUACGCUCUGAAUACAUUAGCAUGGAAUAACACUAUAGGACUCCUGUCCUAUUUCGUUGGUCUCGGGACGGGAGUAAUGAUUAAGAGGAACAGUUGGGGGCAUUCGUAUUUCAUUGUCAGAGGUGAAAUUCUUGGAUUUAUGAAAGACGAACUUCUGCGAAAGCAUUUGCCAAGGAUGUUUUCAUUAA